ensembl:lncRNA
GUAAGUAUUAAGUUAAUAGAUUAAUAGAUCUGAAAUAGAGUGGGGGAACUAUGAUGUCAGAACUAGGAAGUGUAAUUAGCCGCUGGUUCCUUUGAGAUUUUCUUAUGGGAUUUUUCAAUUCAUGAAUAAAAUAAAGCCUGUGGUAAACAUAACUUGACGAUACUUCUAAGUUUUUUUCUACAAUGUAAACUGCACACACCCACAGCCUAAACCAGGGCCCCUCAAUUAGUUUUCACCGAGGGCCGAAUUCUGCCAACGAUACCAAGCCAACGGCCACUGACCUACAUAUACAUAUAUAUAUAAUUAUUACAAUUAUUAUAUUAUUGUUGCUUUUGUUAAAAUAAUCAAAAGAUGGUCACAAGAUAAAUAUUCAGAUUUUCCCCCCUGUAGUCUGUUUUAUUCAAACAAUUAUGAACAUUUUUGCAUUUAGAUACAGAAGAACUUUGCCUGUUGAAUAUUAAAAACAUAUGAACAAACCAAAAAAUCUGGAUCUCCAUGUCUGCCAUGCAAAUCAACUGUUCCUGCUCAUCUCCAGACUGGAUCUCUUCUCUCCACUUUCCCUAAUUGCAGAUUCAAUUAUUAAAUCUGUCAGCAUUAAUAUUUUUAUACUUAGAUUUUUUUGGGGAUCAAACUGUAACACUGUGUGUCCCAAACAGACGUGACGCGAUAAAAAGUAUUUCCAUGUAGUUUUUGUCCUUACCAACCGCAACAGCGACACGUGACAAUAAGCGACACGGAAUUCUAUUUUAGAAAUGCUUUUUAUUUUCUGCGACAUCGCGGCAGGAACAACAUACAAAAAAAUGACAGUGAUAAUCUCAGCUGCAAAUCAUUUGCCCUUACCGUUGAGAUCUGGAUAUGUGACGAAAAGACUUGGAAUCCUCCCCAGCACUCAAAUCUGCUCAGCUGAGUUCGUACUUCUUGAGGCUUGAAAGGAAUAUUCAGUUCCAGAAUAAUAUUUAACUCAUAAAUAAAUUACUCAGAGACUUUUAUUUUAAUAAAAUUUUAACGCAUCACCAUUUGUAAUGGCUUCACUUUAUUAGUAGACAACAACAAAUAAGUAAUAAAAAAUGAAAAUAACAGCAAGUAAGUCUUCACCAUCGGAGUGCGGCCCCGCACAAAGCUCUCCUUGGCCUUUUAUAGCCUUGCAUAAAAUUUGCAUCAACUUCCCUGUCUUCCUUAUUUGGCAGGCUUCUAUAUUCAUACACAGACCGAGUGCAUGACGUUUAUCACACUUAAUACAGAGUGUCAAAAGUACAAAUGGAAGAAUUGCAGGGUCUAUUAGUAAAGCAUGCAACUGCUCAUAAAAAUAUCCAUAACACCUCUAAAGCAUAGUUAUAAUUAUACAUUUUCUCAACCACAAAAGUCACACUUGCAUAUAGAUAUAGUAAAAUUAGCACAGCUACGUAUAGGUUCCAUCUCACAAGUUUAUUGAGAUGCAUCCCCUUCCUCUCCAUCAUCUAAAUAAACAAAGCACAUAGCAACUUAUACCUCAAAGUUUUAUACUUAUAGAAAUGGGAAACAGAAGGUGUGAUCAAAACAUACAUCUGAAACUUCUACCUUGCCUCUGGACAGCAUGUCUGCGUCAAGGUUCAAUCUGCCCGGCACAUGAACCUCCAUUAGCGAGCGGAAUUCUUUCUGUGCCCAAAAGAGGAGGCGACGAGCCAUCCUGCAAAGAGGCUGUGACCUGAGACCACCUUGGUGAUUGAUAUAAGCCACCAUUGUCAUGCUGUCCGACUGGACCAAGACGUGGUACCCUUUCAAAGAUGGAAGGAAGGUUUUCAGGGCUAUGUAAACUGCCAACAUCUCUUGGCAGUUGAUAUGCAGGCAUUGCUCCGGGGCUGACCAGGAGACGAACGCUGGAUUGCCCUCCAACAGGGUGCCCCAAUCCGAGUUGGAUGGGUCCGUCGUGAUUACCUUCCUUCUGGAGGUAAUGCCUAACCUCAUUCCUGUUUGGAACAGGUGAGACGUCAUCCAGGGCGCCACAGCCUUGAUACAGCUGUGGUCUACCCUGAUAGUAAACCGCUCCAGGCGCUAGGCAUGGGGUGGAAUGCGGGCUUUGAGCCAAAACUGAAGGGGCCGCAUGUGAAGCAGGCCCAGAGGAAAUACAGAGGCGGCGGCCGCCAUAAGGCCAAGCAACCUCUGAAAAAGAUUUAGGGGGCUUGUCGCCCCGGUUUGAGAGACGCCACCAAUCACUGAAUAGUUAGGGAUUGUUUCGACGUAAUCCAUGCCCGCAUUUGGAUGGAGUCUAAAAUCUUUCCCAGAAAGACCGCUCGCCAUCUGGGUAACAACUAACUCUUGUGCGUGUUGAUGAUCCACCCAAGGCGCUCCAAGUGGCUGAGUAACAGCUCUCUGUGAGCAGCCAACUCCCGUUCUGACCUGGCUAGAACCAGCCAAUCGUUGAGGUAGUUCAAAACAUGGAUUCCCAUCUGUCUCAGAGGGGAAAGAGCCGUGUCUACAGAUGUGAAAGUAUGCAUCUUUCAGAUCCACAGUCAAAAACCAGUCCUCGGGGCAAAUGUGUGCGAGGAUCUGUUUUAUAGUUAACAUCUUAAACGACUGGCGCAUAAGUGAAUGGUUCAGACGUCUGAGAUCCAGAAUGGAUCUGAGCCCGCCAUCUUUCUUUGGAACAAGGAAGUAGCGGCUGAAAAAGCCUGACUCACUGUUCGCUGGGGGCACUAUUUCUACAGCACCUUUUGCAAGCAACGUCUGCACCUCCUGUUGGAAAAUGAGUGCUUUGUUGUCUGGAACAGAAGUUUGAAUGACGCCUCUGAAUCGAGGUGGCCUGCGAACGAAUUGGAGCGAGUAACCUCGUCAAAUUGUUUUUAAAACCCAACUUGCCACUCCCAGAAUGGCUGCCGUGAAACGGGAGGCAAGAGGGUUUAUUUUUUAGAAUGAGAGCUCACAAGAAUAGAUGGGGAACUCGCAUUCACUUGAGUGUGAGAAAGUGAGUGAAGAGGAAAUUAGCUCUUUAUUGUAUGUGGGUCUGCUAUCACAGCGGUAAAACAUUCGGGUACGCACUGCACCUGCAGGACGUGACCCGCUGGAAAGGAAACUCCAUUGCUCAGAGGUGCUCGGAGGGAUGGAGAAUGAAAGCGAGCAGUUUGUGUGGGGUGUUCCAGCCAAGGUGAGAACAGAGCCCCUCCUCUUCUUCUCUGGUGCAUCAGGACGGCUUAGGCGGCUCGAGGUCCAGCACAACUCAUGGGCGGGGACCUUGACACUUUUGGAAAGUGGAAGUGUUUUGCCAUCCGGGAGCGCUGUUGCAGCCCAGGCUCAGAUUUGUUUUGGGGCUGAGGCUGCUCCGGCAUUGCAGGCUGAUUGGCAGGGUUCUUCUGGUGGCUUCGAAAAACCUCUCUGCAAACCCAUCCACAGCGGGGCCGAACAGACCCUUCGGCGAGACUGGUGAGUUGAGGAAGGCCAUUUUUUCAGCGUCCCUGAUCUCAGUGAGGUUCAACCAUAGGUGGCACUCCAGCAACACCAAACUGGCCAUGGUCUUGCCGAUCACUUGGCCUGAAACACCUGGAGAAUGUCAUUGUAUGCAGCGCCGACCCACAUAAGCUGCAUAAGCCGAGGUGGUCCUGCAGGGCUUAGAGGGAUUUGCUGCAUGGGCCUUCAAUGCGAGGGUAGAUGGCGGGAACAGAUGAGCAGCAACCGCUUAAUCCAGAGGGGGGAGCUUGCUGUAUCCCUUGUUGUCCGUGCCAUCAACGGUGGUGAGAGCUGCUGCUGUAGAGGGAUUUACUCGGGCCGAGUAGGGGGCACGCCACGUCUUGGUGAGCUUGUCAUGAACUGCAGACAAGAACGGGGCGGGGCGUUGGCGAGAGGAUUGUUGGUGGCUUCCCGGCAGGUACCCCUUGUCCAACAGACCGUGGGCGGGCUCUUCCGGAGCCGAGUACUCGAGGCCCAGAUCCUCCACCGCCUUUGACAAGACAGAAGAGUUCAGCGUCCGGCUUCGGCCUCGGAGUUUGAGAGGGGGUAUGGACUUCAGGCUCAUCACCCGAAUCUCCCAACUCUUCUGUAUCAGACGCCACCAAGGACAUGGAGUCGUCGGCGAUAACCUCCUUGCUGAUGACGUCCCCUUCAGAUGCGUCGACUGAAACCAAGCUGCUCUCAACUGAAUUGGGGCGCUGGUCCUCCUAUGUGAAACACACCGGCGAGGCGAGAGGACGAGGGGAAGGCGGGGCAUGUGGGCACUGAGCCAACGUGACACCACUCGAGCCUGCUGAGAAGGACUUGCUGCCCCACUGUUUCUUUCUCUUAGGAGAGAAAGGAAAUGGGAGGGUUGAGAGAGAAAAGGUGAAAGACUCAUACUCUCGCAAAGGGUGCAUGAGCCUUCAGUGAGAGCAGCCUCUGUGUGGGCGCUGCCGAGACAGACAACACACUCACUGUGCCCGUCCGUCUCAUGCAAGAAAUUUGGUCUUUAGGAAUCGCUCUUGCUUGCUCUUAAAGCGCCAGAUGGCCGCAGUGAAUCCUAGCUGCUUCAGGCGUAUUCGAUGGUGGCGAGCAGAGCUGGAGCUUCUUCUUCCUCGGCUUCUUGGCUUCUUCCAGAGACAGCUAAGAGAUGACCCUCAUCGCUAAAGGAGAAUAAUCUGAUGAAUGGUGCUGCGAGACGACUUAUAUACAGGUCAGCUCUGCCCCUUAUGGCGGGCUAAAGCGCUGUUGGUUUGUGCAGCUACACAAACGUGAACAAAUCAAGCUUCAGUACAGUUUAAAACAGAAGUUUUCCCAUUCACACAACGUGAAGUAAACGUUCGAAAGGGAAAUGGAAUUACCUUGGCAUAGUUGAAUAAUAAGAGUUCUGUACAUGGAAAUGACAUACUGUGAGCCUCAAACACCAUUGUUUCCUCCUCCUUAUGUAAAUCUUGUGCAUGCAAGAGACAACUGAAAAAAAGCCGAAUCCCAACAUAACACCAACUGUGAUGUUACAGUCGGGAUCAUUAAUGUUUACGCACCCAACGUUUGCAUAACAUAUACCAGCCCAUGUUCUAGGCCAGCCGGACCUGCACAGCCGAAUCAUUGGUGCAGUUUUGCCAUUUAUUGCUAUUAAAACAAACAAAAACGAUAAAUAAAUAAAAAUAAAAUGAAAUUAUUUAAAAUCUUUUGCAAUUAAGGUAAGAUAAAGAUAUUGUUGACCUUUAACUGCAAUGACUUUCUUUAUUAACUUUCUAAAGUGUCAAAAAAUGGAAAAGACAAGUCCAGAAAUGCUUAUAACAGAUGGAUCUGGCAACACAGAGGCUGUGUCCGCGCCGAGCGGCAACCUCUCUCUCAUGAGGACAACAAGGAAGUGACUAAAACUUAAAUUCAUCGACUGGCCGCCUGAUUAAGACAUAAUUCACCCCAAAAAGAUGUGAUGUGGUUGAGGAUUUGAGAUUUGGAUUUCCUCAAAAAAAAAAUGAAGCACUUUAUCCAGCAGAGAUCAUAAACAUGAGUAAGUCUCUUAUUUAUUUAUAUACUUGUACUAGUUUUCACAUAACGUGUAAACAUUUUACUAGUUAGACUUUUUCCAAAGACUUUUUCCAAACUAUAAUUCCUGACUAAAUGUAUAAUCAAGUGAAAUAUUAUGAAGUUUCAAUAACAAUAUACACUACUAUACCAUUCAAAAGCUUGAUGUAAAUAAUAUAAAUGUACCAAUAAAUGUAACUGUAACAAAUGUAAUAAACAAUGCUGUUCUUUCAAUUUACCCCCCCUAAAAAACCUGAAAAAAAUAUUCUCAGCUCUUUUCAACAUUAAUAAUAAUAAUAAUAAUAAUGAUAAUAAUAACAAUAAAUGUUUUUUUUUGUAGAAAAUAAGAUUGUUAAAAGGAUUUCUGAAGGAUUGUGUGACUGGAGUAAUGAUGCAGAAAAUUCAGUUUGAAAGUCAGCUUUGAAUGUUCCUAAUAAACUGUUUAACUGUACUCACAAGUGAAUAUUAAAUUAUGUUGUGGGAUAAUUAAAUAUAUUCUAAAUAAACUACAAACAUAAAAUUAUAUACAUUUAUUUUGUCCUCACAUUCUUUCUUGUACCUCAUCCCUCUCAGUGACACAGCUGACUGAAUGGCUCAUUAUGCAGCUCAUUAUGCAGGCCUUUGUCUUCUCAGGUGUGAAUUCAUGAUAGUUGACGCCUACUCGCAUAUGACUUUUACCAACAA